rnacentral:rRNA from 1 species
UUGGAGGGCAAGUCUGGUGCCAGCAGCCGCGGUAACUCCAGCUCCAAUAGCGUAUAUUAAAGUUGUUGCAGUUAAAAAGCUCGUAGUUGAAUUUCGGGAUCAAUAUGUCGGUCGUGCCUUCGGUACGUACUGGCAUCAUUGGUUUCUCCCUUCUGACAAACCAUGAUGUCAUUAAUUUGGUGUUAUGGGGAGUUAGGACUGUUACUUUGAAAAAAUUAGAGUGUUUAAAGCAGGCAUUAGCUUGAAUACAUUAGCAUGGAAUAAUGAAAUAGGACGUUUGACCCUAUUUUGUUGGUUUCUAGGAUCGACGUAAUGAUUAAUAGGGAUAGUUGGGGGCAUUAGUAUUCAAUUGUCAGAGGUGAAAUUCUUGGAUUUAUUGAAGACUAACUACUGCGAAAGCAUUUGCCAAGGAUGUUUUCAUUAAUCAAGAACGAAAGUUAGGGGAUCGAAGACGAUCAGAUACCGUCGUAGUCUUAACCAUAAACUAUGCCGACUAGGGAUCGGAUGAUGUUAAUUUUUUAAUGACUCAUUCGGCGCCUUACGGGAAAC